AGAGUUUGAUCAUGGCUCAGAACGAACGCUGGCGGCAGGCCUAACACAUGCAAGUCGAACGUGAAGCUGGAGCUUGCUCCAGUGGAAAGUGGCAGACGGGUGAGUAACGCGUGGGAAUUUACCCAGUGGUUCGGAAUAACUUCGGGAAACCGGAGCUAAUACCGAAUACGCCCUUCGGGGGAAAGAUUUAUCGCCAUUGGAUGAGCCCGCGUCGGAUUAGCUUGUUGGUGGGGUAAAAGCCUACCAAGGCGACGAUCCGUAGCUGGUCUGAGAGGAUGAUCAGCCACACUGGGACUGAGACACGGCCCAGACUCCUACGGGAGGCAGCAGUGGGGAAUAUUGCACAAUGGGCGCAAGCCUGAUGCAGCCAUGCCGCGUGAGUGAAGAAGGCCUUAGGGUUGUAAAACUCUUUCACCGGUGAAGAUAAUGACGGUAGCCGGAGAAGAAGCCCCGGCCAACUCCGUGCCAGCAGCCGCGGUAAUACGGAGGGGGCUAGCGUUGUUCGGAAUUACUGGGCGUAAAGCGCGCGUAGGCGGGCUGGUCAGUUGGGGGUGAAAUCCCGGGGCUUAACCUCGGAACUGCCCUCAAUACUACCAGUCUAGAGAUCGAGAGAGGUAAGUGGAAUUCCUAGUGUAGAGGUGAAAUU
rnacentral:rRNA from 1 species